GCGCCUGUAGCUCAGAUGGAUAGAGCACCAGUUUCCGGAACUGGGUGUCACAGGUUCGAAUCCUGUCAGGCGCGCCA
rnacentral:tRNA from 1 species